rnacentral:rRNA from 1 species
GAUGAACGCUGGCGGCGUGCCUAAUACAUGCAAGUCGAGCGAACAGAUAAGGAGCUUGCUCCUUUGACGUUAGCGGCGGACGGGUGAGUAACACGUGGGUAACCGACCUAUAAGACUGGGAUAACUUCGGGAAACCGGAGCUAAUACCGGAUGACAGUUGGAACCGCAUGGUUCUAAGGUGAAAGACGGUUGUGCUAUCACUUAUAGAUGGACCCGCGCCGGAUUAGCUAGUUGGUAAGGUAACGGCUUACCAAGGCUACGAUACGUAGCCGACCUGAGGGGGUGAUCGGCACCACUGGACCUGAGCACCGGUCGCGCCUCCUACGGGAGGACGCAGUACGACAUCUUCCGCAAUGGGCGAAAGCCUGACGGAGCAACGCCGCGUGGGUGAUGAAGGGUUUCGGCUCGUAAACCUCUGUUAUUAGGGAAGAACAAACGUGUAAGUAACUGUGCACGUCUUGACGGUACCUAAUCAGAACGCCACGGCUAACUACGU